rnacentral:rRNA from 1 species
AAAACCGAGAGUUUGAUCCUGGCUCAGAUUGAACGCUGGCGGCAUGCUUUACACAUGCAAGUCGAACGGCAGCACGGGUGCUUGCACCUGGUGGCGAGUGGCGGACGGGUGAGUAAUACAUCGGAACGUGUCCUUAAGUGGGGGAUAACGCAUCGAAAGAUGUGCUAAUACCGCAUAAUCUCUGAGGAGAAAAGCAGGGGGAUCGCAAGACCUUGUGCUUUUGGAGCGGCCGAUGUCUAAUUAGCUAGUUGGUGGGGUAAUGGCUUACCAAGGCUUCGAUCAGUAGCUGGUCUGAGAGGACGACCAGCCACACUGGGACUGAGACACGGCCCAGACUCCUACGGGAGGCAGCAGUGGGGAAUUUUGGACAAUGGGGGAAACCCUGAUCCAGCCAUGCCGCGUGAGUGAAGAAGGCCUUCGGUUGUAAG